UACGUAGGGUGCAAGCGUUGUCCGGAAUUAUUGGGCGUAAAGAGCUCGUAGGCGGUUUGUCGCGUCUGCUGUGAAAACUCAGGGCUUAACCCUGAGCUUGCAGUGGGUACGGGCAGACUAGAGUGCGGUAGGGGAGACUGGAAUUCCUGGUGUAGCGGUGAAAUGCGCAGAUAUCAGGAGGAACACCGGUGGCGAAGGCGGGUCUCUGGGCCGUAACU
rnacentral:rRNA from 1 species